UUCUCCGGUCAUUAAUCAUUAUUAACUAUGCUUUCACACGUUCACACUGUCACCAUAGAAUAUUACAUAGAUUUUUGCAGAUAGUUAAUUUCGCGCGAACAUAUUCGUCCGAACGUCUGUUGUGAUCGAUUACAACUAUGUGUGCGUAUAAGUUCGAAUCGAUAGUUGUCUAGUAUUUUCGAUCACAUAGUACAUACUCAUGGGAUUCAACCAUGGCUACUGGAACUACUAGAAAUAAGGUGGCACUUGCACCUGGACAUUCUCUGAUGGACUGGAUUCGUUUAGGAAAUUCUGGAAGUGACUUGACUGGAGUUGGUGGUAAAAUUUUAUCCAUUUCAAAAUCAGAAUUAGCAAAACACAAUAAACGAACAGAUGCCUGGUUGGCUAUUCGCGGAACAGUUUACAAUGUCACUCAGUACAUGGACUUCCAUCCUGGUGGUGUUGAUGAACUAGUUAGAGGAAUCGGUACAGAUGCUACUAAAUUGUUUUCAGAGAUACAUGCUUGGGUGAAUUAUGAAUCAAUACUUCAGAAGUGUGUGGUUGGUCGAUUAGUGAACGAAGAAUUGUUUAAAUUGCCCGAUAUUUUGAAAGCGACCACAGAUGUCUCCGAAAAUGAAUUGAACAUGGAUUGGUUUCAACAACUUGGCUUCUUAUGUUUUGUAUUUUAUACUAAAACACCAUAUCCUGAGGUAUCCAUUACUUUAAAACAACCCAAUGAAUUUUGUUUUGCAUUGAAUGGUAAAACAAGAUGUAUUACUUUACAUAAAAGUGUCAAUUGGCCUUGUGUUGUAAAAAUUGUGGCAGACAUUGGAAAAGUUCAAGUUAAACUAAUAAAAAAAGUACUUGGACUUUGGCCCACAUUUGGAACUCUAUCAACAACUAGAAAUAUUCAAAUUGAUUAUUGGAAAUGCGAGCUACUUAAUUCGUUUGAUGUCACACACAAUGCUAAAUUUUUAUUAUUUAAAUAUCAACAGAAUUUGUACAAUCAUGUAUAUCCAGGUCGACAUAUUUAUAUUAAAGCUAAUUUGAAUGGUCAUGUUGUGUCUCGUCCUUAUACUCCAGUCUGGCCUUUAGUUGAAACAACAGAGUAUGGGAAAAUCUCAGAGGACACUUUAUGUUUAUUAGUUAAAAGUUAUCCAAAUGGAAAAUUAAGUAGACAUUUAUGUUCUUUAAACCAAGGAGAUUCAAUCGAAGUCAGCCGCCCACAAGGUAGUUUUGAGUGUUGGACAUCAAAAACAAACCUAAUUUUAUUAGCAGCUGGUACUGGGAUUACACCAAUGCUACCAAUUAUAUGGAAUGCUUUGCAUUCUUCUAUUAAAAAGUACAAUAUCACAUUAUUGUAUUUCAACAAAAAAGAAACAUGCAUAAUUUGGAAAAACUAUUUAGAUCAAAAAAGUGCAGCUUAUUUAUCAAGAAGAGGAAGACUCUAAAGGUGAUACAAAAGGACAUAUUGAUGAAAGUGUAAUCACUAAGUAUUUUCCUUCAUUACAUGAAGAUUCAAUGAAUGAAUAUGCAGUGUGCAUUUGUGGCCCACCAGGCUUCAAUAAACUAUGUGAAAAGUUAGUUGUCCAGCAAGGUUA
rnacentral:misc_RNA from 1 species